UACGAAGGGGGCUAGCGUUGCUCGGAAUCACUGGGCGUAAAGCGCACGUAGGCGGAUUGCUAAGUCAGGGGUGAAAUCCUGGAGCUCAACUCCGGAACUGCCUUCGAUACUGCGGGUCUCGAGUCCGGGAGAGGUGAGUGGAAUUCCUAGUGUAGAGGUGAAAUUCGUAGAUAUUAGGAAGAACACCAGUGGCGAAGGCGGCUCACUGGCCCGGUACUGGACGCUG
rnacentral:rRNA from 1 species